rnacentral:rRNA from 1 species
GACGAACGCUGGCGGCGUGCUUAACACAUGCAAGUCGAACGAUGAAGAAGAGAAACGCGAACUUCGGUUCAAAUUUCACUUCGGAUUAGUGGCAGACGGGUGAGUAACGCGUGAGCAACCUACCUCUUACAAAGGGAUAGCCUCGGGAAACCGUGAUUAAUACCAUAUGACACAUUCAUAAGGCAUCUUAAGAAUGUUAAAGCUACGGCGGUAAGAGAUGGGCUCGCGUCCCAUUAGCUAGUUGGUGAGGUAACGGCCCACCAAGGCGACGAUGGGUAACCGGCCUGAGAGGGUGAACGGUCACAUUGGAACUGAGACACGGUCCAAACUCCUACGGGAGGCAGCAGUGGGGAAUAUUGCACAAUGGAGGGAACUCUGAUGCAGCGACGCCGCGUGAGCGAUGAAGGAAUUCGUUUCGUAAAGCUCUGUUCUAUGGGAAGAAAAGGACUGUACCAUGGGAGAAAGCCCCGGCUAAAUACGUG